CCUGGACGCUCUAGAAGAGUGAGUAGACACUGAUUCCGGGUCAAGAUAGUCUCGGUUAGACUUCAAGAUUUGGUAGAACUCCUUCUCGAGUCGUUUCAUAGCAAUUUGCAUAAGAUUUUGAGCUCGGACGAGCUUUUCAGAGGCAGAGUUUUCAGUGACGUAAUAUUGCAUUGCAGACUGUAGUUGUUUGAUAGAGUUGAGGUAUUGCUUGGCUUCUUGGCGAUUGUCAGUGAAAAGAGAAGCGAUGGAGCAGUAGUUGGUAUUGGAAUCAGAAUCCCAUUUGUAAAUAAGUAUAUUGGCAUUGUCUAUGUUCUCAUCCACUAAUGUAUCAGAGAAGGUAUGGCGAUGCGGUUGUGAUCGCAUUGGAGAAGAUGAAGUAGACGGAUUGAAGAAUACCGUCCUCAUACCUUUUCUAGGCAUAUAGAGCUUCAAGAUUAAAGUAAUUUAAUUUGAUGAAUAUUUUAGAGAGGGAGGAGAGAGAGAGAGAGAGAGAGAG
rnacentral:misc_RNA from 1 species